UAUUGGGGGCAAAUGUAAGAGACAAAUCUGCGCGUUGACAUAAAUCCAAUAAAGUUAUACAAGGGUUGACUUUUGCCCAGUUGCUUAAGCAAGCAAAGGGAUCUUCUGUACUUUGAACCAUCCCACUCACUUUUACUUUCCUUACCAAUAAGCCUGAGAUGACAAAGUUGGGUCCCUGGACACUGUAAGAAACCAGCUGUGAAGCCCUGCCUGCCCAUCCGUCAGUACUGAACUGUGCAGGAAUGUGAACGGAUGCUGAGCAGCUGAAGAGGCCUACCCUCCGCCCUUGUGCUCCCCAGCCCUGGCUCAAGUUGCCCAGGUGAGACGAGCACUGUACCCAGUCUCUGCUUGGCACAGCAAGAUAUCCACCCAUGGGAGCAGAACAAAGCCUUAACCCAGCAGGCCCUCCCAGCACGCCAACAUCAGACAGCCCAACGUUCACACAAGCACCGCCGCCAGCCGAACUCAAACUGCCAGACACCAGAGUACGGGGCAUCAGCUGAGAAAAGCUUUAGAAAAACAGAGGACACGUGCAUCUUUGUCCUCUCGAUUCGGAUCAAACUUCUUUUCCAACAUGAAACAAAACGAAAAGUAAUGACUGCGGUUUAAAAAAAAAUAAAAAAA